AUCCUUCAUGAGCUGGGAGACAGCCCCAGAGGUGACAGUUUCUACAAGAGCAGUCUGAAAUGCCACCUCCCAAGAAACCUCCAUGCAUCUUCCCAAGCAGAAUGAGUCACCCCUUCUUCUGCCCUUUCAUAGCCCCAACCAUCUCGAGGACAACACAUCAGCAGCAGCAGCCAUGUGGAUGUUUGUUUCUGUACCUGGAUUCUAAGUGCCUGGAGGACUGGACAUAUCUGGUUUCUAAGUUCCAGGAGGACUGGACACAUCCAUCACCCACGUGUAAACCCAGCACCUAGCACAGUGCCUGCCAUCCGAUAGGGUUUAAGACGCAUGGGAGGAAUCUAAUCAUCAGACUACCAAAGGGCUGCUAGAACUCAGAAAGGGAUCCCCAUCAUUUGGGGGAUGGGAUAAAGGUCUUCAUUUCUGUUAUUUCCAGCACCAACCUCCAUGGCUCCACUCAUUCCUGCUCCUUCCUCCUGCUAAGAUUGGCUGGUCAGGAGAGGGGUAGGGGCAGGAGCAGCUAUACCUGGUCUCCUCCACCACCCACGGUGGGGUGCACCCUUGGUGGGACCUGGUGAGCAUGACAGCACCUGGCCUAGGGGACCUGGAGCCUCCACAGCCCCACAGAGAGCAAGAGGAGCUGUUCAGCCACUUGCAGAGACAGAGAGUGCUUCAAGGACUACGUGGAGCUCUGGAGAAGCAGGGAAUUCAGGGCCCUCUUUUGUGAGGCAUGAGAAAUUUAGGCAGGAUCACGUCUACAAAAGAGGCUGUCACUUUGGCUUAUCAAUAUUUUCACCUCAUUACCCCUUCCAGAUCAGAGUGGGUGCUUUAUUUGUUUUUAUGGAUUAUUGUGUCAACCAAAACGAGAGUUCAGAGUCACUCUAAAGAUUUGAAACUCCUUCAAGAUUUG
rnacentral:lncRNA from 1 species